rnacentral:rRNA from 1 species
GACGAACGCUGGCGGCGUGCCUAAUACAUGCAAGUCGAACGAAGCUGUUUUAACUGGUGCUUGCACCGACUUAAACAACUGAGUGGCGAACGGGUGAGUAACACGUGGGUAACCUGCCCCAAAGCGGGGGAUAACAUUUGGAAACAGAUGCUAAUACCGCAUAACCACAGAAACCACAUGGUUUCUGUGUCAAAGAUGGUUUCGGCUAUCACUUUGGGAUGGACCCGCGGCGUAUUAGCUAGUUGGUAAGGUAAUGGCUUACCAAGGCAAUGAUACGUAGCCGAACUGAGAGGUUGAUCGGCCACAUUGGGACUGAGACACGGCCCAAACUCCUACGGGAGGCAGCAGUAGGGAGUCUUCCACAAUGGACGAAAGUCUGAUGGAGCAACGCCGCGUGAAUGAAGAAGGUUUUCGGAUCGUAAAACUCUGUUGUCAGAGAAGAACGUGUGCGAGAGUAACUGCUCGUGCAGUGACGGUAUCUGGCCAGAAAGCCGCGGCUAACUACGUGCCAGCAGCCGCCGCAG